rnacentral:rRNA from 1 species
UACGGGGGGGCAAGCGUUGUUCGGAAUUACUGGGCGUAAAGGGUUUGUAGGUGGCUUGUUAAGUCAGACGUGAAAUCCCUCAGCUUAACCUGGGGACUGCGUCUGAUACUGGCGAGCUUGAGUGCAGGAGAGGAACGCGGAAUUCCAGGUGUAGCGGUGAAAUGCGUAGAUAUCGGGAGGAACACCUAUGGCGAAGGCAGCUCGCUGGGACGUUACUGACGCUGAGACGCGAAAGCGUGGGGAGCAAACAGG